CACCGCGGUUAUACGAGAGGCCCAAGUUGAAAGAGCCCGGCGUAAAGAGUGGUUAAGUUAAAAUUUUACUAAAGCCGAACAUCAUCACGGCUGUUAUACGCACCCGAAGAUAAGAAGCUCAGCCACGAAGGUAGCUUUAUUUGUCUGAACCCACGAAAGCUACGGCA
rnacentral:rRNA from 1 species